UACGGAGGGUGCGAGCGUUGUCCGGAAUCACUGGGCGUAAAGGGCGCGUAGGUGGCACGGGAAGUCUUCGGUGAAAGCUCAGGGCUCAACCCUGAGUCGGCCGGCGAUACUCCCGAGCUUGAGUGUGGUAGAGGCCAAUGGAAUUCCGGGUGUAGCGGUGGAAUGCGUAGAGAUCCGGAAGAACACCGGUGGCGAAGGCGGUUGGCUGGGCCACAACUGACACUGAUGCGCGACAGCGUGGGGAG
rnacentral:rRNA from 1 species